GACAGAGGUGCCAAGCGUUAGGCGGAAUCACUGGGCUUAAAGCGUGUGUAGGUGGAUUUGUAAGUACCUUGUGAAAUCCCAUGGCUCAACCAUGGAACUGCUCGGUAUACUGCGAAUCUUGAGCCACUUAGGGGCUACCGGAACAAAUGGUGGAGCGGUGAAAUGCGUAGAUAUCAUUUGGAACUCCAAUGGUGAAAACAGGUAGCUGGGAGUGUGCUGACACUGAGACACGAAAGCCAGGGGAGCGAACGGG
rnacentral:rRNA from 1 species